UACGUAGGGUGCAAGCGUUGUCCGGAAUUAUUGGGCGUAAAGAGCUCGUAGGCGGUCUGUCGCGUCGGCUGUGAAAACCCGCGGCUUAACCGUGGGCUUGCAGCCGAUACGGGCAGGCUAGAGUUCGGUAGGGGAGACUGGAAUUCCUGGUGUAGCGGUGAAAUGCGCAGAUAUCAGGAGGAACACCGGUGGCGAAGGCGGGUCUCUGGGCCGAUACUGACGCUGAGGAGCGAAAGCGUGGGGAGCGAACAGG
rnacentral:rRNA from 1 species